UACGGGGGGAGCAAGCGUUGUUCGGAUUUACUGGGCGUAAAGGGCGCGUAGGCGGCGCAACAAGUCACUUGUGAAAUCUCCGGGCUUAACCCGGAGCGGUCAAGUGAUACUGUCGUGCUAGAGUGCGGAAGGGGCUACUGGAAUUCUCGGUGUAGCGGUGAAAUGCGUAGAUAUCGAGAGGAACACCUGCGGCGAAGGCGGGUAGCUGGGCCGACACUGACGCUGACAGCGCGAAAGCCAGGGGAGCAAACGGG
rnacentral:rRNA from 1 species